GAUAUUCUCUAUGAUGCUUUACUGGAUGGCAUCAGUAACUCAAGGUCAUUACCAGACUCUAUAUGCCAGCAGCUUCAUCCACAACUACCGACAGGAGCUCGUUAGAUACCCUGCUUUGACUACAGGCUAUCUUUUCCACGAGACAAUCUUGUAGCCUUGUUAUGCUUACUGCUCAAGCUCACAAAUAGCCUAUCAUCAAAGCAACCCCCUUGACAAUUUGACCGACUCAAACAACAAUCAAGAACAAAAAAGG